UACGGAGGGUGCAAGCGUUAAUCGGAAUUACUGGGCGUAAAGCGCGCGUAGGCGGUUCGAUGAGUCGGGUGUGAAAGCCCCGGGCUUAACCUGGGAAUUGCAUUCGAUACUGUCGAGCUAGAGUCUAGGAGAGGGAAGGGGAAUUCCGGGGGUAGCGGUGAAAUGCGUAGAUAUCCGGAGGAACACCAGUGGCGAAGGCGCCUUCCUGGCCUAAGACUGACGCUGAGGUGCGAAAGCGUGGGGAGCAAACAGG
rnacentral:misc_RNA from 1 species